CUCCGACCCAGGUCGUCGCAGCAGCACAGGAAGCUGUAACACAGAGACACUAGGAGGAGGAAACAGAGUACAAGGAGAACGUAUCCAGGAGCAAUUCCACUUCGAAUGAUUCCUAAGUGAAUGCCUACAGGACAGUUCUCGGUGACCAUGUCCAGAACAGGCAUAAGUGACGAUCCCCAGUACUUCCCUGAGGGACCACACUGGUACCUUGGAUCAGAACCCUGCAUCAGAACAGGCCUAAAUGGCCAUGGCUAAGAACACGGCUGAGUUGUCCUUCAACAGCAAUGCCAAUGCCAAUUCACCAUGUCCGAGUGUUCACAAGGCUCCUCUCCUGGAUGUAAGCUAAUUUGUCUAUGUCUCUUCUAAAAUCUCACACCUGGGACUGCGCGAGGAAUUUCAGAUAUGGAUUGAAAAGUUCAACAGGACUCUCACCUCUCUUUUGUAAGUUCUAUUUCUAGUAAUGCCACCUAAGACUCCAUUAUCUUUUUCUUGUGGCUAUAUCACACUGCUGACAUCUCAAACUUGCAGCCAGUGUACUUUGGGCAAGUGGACCCCCUUUAAGCCUCAGGUUCCUCAGCUGUAAAAUGGGACGCUAUGAUUCACCUUAAAAGUCUCUCAAAGUUUAGAUGUUGCAUGAUUCUAUGAUUCCAUUACCCAAAGCAUGAACCACUCACUUGGCAUCAUGUAAUUUCCACAGUUGAUCACAAUUUAAUUAAUUCCUCAUUCUAAUUGUUAAUAAAAAUGUCAAAACAAAUAUACUUAAAGGAGUUCUUCUUCUUCUUUUGGGUGAGGGGAAGUGUCUCACUCUGUUGACCAUGCUGGCAUGCAGUAGUGCAAUCAUAGCUCAUGCUGCAGCCUCCACUUCCUGGGCUCAAGGGAUCCUCCUGCCUCAGCCUCCUGAGUAGCUAGGACUACAGGCAUGUGCCACCACACCUAGCUAGUUUUUUAAUUUUUUGUAGAGAUGAAGUCUUACUGUGUUG
rnacentral:lncRNA from 10 species